UAUGGCAGUCAUACCCCCUGCUGCUCUGGCUAGGUAAUUCAUCUGAAGCUAAGCCAGUUUGGGCCUGGCCAGUACUUGGAUGGGAGGCCGAGUAGGAAAGCUGGGUUGCUGCUGGGA
rnacentral:rRNA from 1 species